UACGAAGGGGGCUAGCGUUGUUCGGAAUCACUGGGCGUAAAGGGCGCGUAGGCGGUCAGCACAAGUCAGUUGUGAAAUCUCCGGGCUUAACUCGGAAAGGUCAACUGAUACUGUGCGACUAGAGUGCGGAAGGGGCAACUGGAAUUCUCGGUGUAGCGGUGAAAUGCGUAGAUAUCGAGAGGAACACCUGCGGCGAAGGCGGGUUGCUGGGCCGACACUGACGCUGAUGCGCGAAAGCCAGGGGAGCGAACGGG
rnacentral:rRNA from 1 species